GUACAUGCCUACAACAUAGUGUUAAUGCACAAGUUCCCUUUAAAACUCUGCAGUUAAGCACGCUCGCGUUAGAGUAGUAGUGGGAUGGGUGCUUGCCCGAGAAGUCCUGGUGUCUUACAUG
rfam:Picea glauca, whole genome shotgun sequence.